GGCCCAAGCGUGCGUGUAUGAAUGCGUUUAUACAGGGAUUGUCAUUGUCCCACUUACCGUCAGUCCACCAUCCAUGCAGAAGCUGUUUGUCUUGGCCAUCUCCGUCCUGACUCCCCCGGCACCAGGUCCCCUGAAAUUCUCCCCACUGCACGCUGCUCCCAUCGAUUCUGCUCUCCACCUGCAUCGUCGCCCUCCUAACUCUCUCUGCCCCACCGUCGCGAUCUACAUCCAUCAGAUAUUCCGCAGCAGAUGCUGGAGAGUGACUAGGAAAUUUAUACAGGUUUUCGAAAAGGGGGGGGGGGGGUUCGUUUAUGUCCCCAAGAAAGGACCUCAUUCGCCCCGGCUUGUCUGCAAAAAUAUCAAUAGUGAGCAAAGAUCAUGCUGCAUUCAGCUUGCUUCCCCCCUCUCCGUUCUCUGCGCUCCCCCAUCGCUCUCGAAGCUGCUCUCUCGCUCUCAGAGCUUUCCG